rnacentral:ncRNA from 1 species
CUAACAACUAUGCGAGUGUUUGGGUGUAAAACAAGUACGCAUAAUGAAAGUGAACGUAGGUGGGAACCUUUUGGUGCACCAUCGACCGAUCCUGAUGUAUUCGGAUGGAUUUGAGUAAGAGCAUAGCUGUUGG